ACUGUGCUCGCGCAUGCGUGGCAAAGGGGUAUUUCCCAAUGAGUGGGGUGAGCGAAAGUUUUUUGUGGAGAAAAUGCUUUCAUAACUGGAAAAGUCGAUGGAGGGAAAGCAUUCCAAGCCGCUGAUCUCGCAUGCUGCCACACUCAGUGAUCGCUCUAAGGCAGGGCCCCUUCAGACCAUCUCGUACCCUUCCAGCAAACUGCAAGCUCUGGCGUAAAGUCCAUAGUUGAUGGCAAUGGCGACAAUCAGGACAGUAAUUUUAUUGCGGAAGAAAAGCGAACUUCCCGAGGCGUUCACGGAGUAAGAAGCGAAACUUGGCAAACUUUUCGUUUUAACUGGUUUCGUUUCGAGGUGUGGGAUUAACACUAAUAAUUUUGAAAAUACUUUGACGAUUGAGGAUUUAUAUUAAUAUGUGGGUGGUGUCGAUGGCAGAAAUGAAGCAGUAACACAACUAAUUAUAGUCUAUUAACUUAAAGUAGGCAUUUCAAAAACUUUAAGACCCUUUCUCAUUUACAAUCGUGUAGUUUGUCGUCAUCGCCGCACAGCAAUUAUUUUCUUCACCCAGUUUGAGACUGCAUUUCAAGUUGGCUUUCAUUCGUGCGCUUUUCGUGAAACGAAGCAUGGUAAAUGGAAAUGAAGAAGAAAAAUAUUUGGGGACUCGAGCGUCUUCCGAAGUUAUUGUUACCAUAAUUAUGAGACAAGCCUCGAGAAAAAAACGACCUUUGUAAUAGAUUUUAAUAUGUUAUAAAUAAAAAUUUGCUUACACAUUCA